rnacentral:rRNA from 1 species
UACGAAGGGGGCUAGCGUUGUUCGGAAUUACUGGGCGUAAAGCGCACGUAGGCGGAUAUUUAAGUCGGGGUGAAAUCCCGGGGCUCAACCCCGGAACUGCCUUCGAUACUGGGUAUCUUGAGUUCGGAAGAGGUGAGUGGAAUUGCGAGUGUAGAGGUGAAAUUCGUAGAUAUUCGCAGGAACACCAGUGGCGAAGGCGGCUCACUGGUCCGAUACUGACGCUGAGGUGCGAAAGCGUGGGGAGCAAACAGG